rnacentral:rRNA from 1 species
UACGUAGGGUGCAAACGUUAUCCGGAUUUAUUGGGCGUAAAGAGCUCGUAGGCGGUUUGGAAAGUCGGAUAUUAAAUACUCCAGCUUAACUGGAGGCAAGUAUCCGAAACUUCCUAACUAGAGGUAUGCAGGGGCAGAUGGAACUUACGGUGUAGCGGUGGAAUGCGUAGAUAUCGUAAGGAACGCCAAUGGUGAAGACAAUCUGCUGGGCAUAUUCUGACGCUGAGGAGCGAAAGCGUGGGUAGCGAUCGGG